rnacentral:SRP_RNA from 1 species
GCCGGGUGCGGUGGCAUGUGCCCUGUAAUCAAGUCACUGGGAGGCUGAGGUUGGUGGAAUCAAGUGAGCUGAGGAGCUCUGGGCUGCAGCACUCUAUGUCGAACGGGUGUCCACGCUAAGUUUCGGUAUCGAUAUGGUGUUCCUUGGGGGAGCCCGGGACCACCAGGUUGUCUAAGGAGGGGUGAACCGGCCCAGGUCGGAAACGAAGCAGGUCAAAUCCCCCGUGCUGUCCAGUAGUGGGAUACUACCUGUGAGUAGAUGCUGCAGUGCAGCCUUGGCAAAACAUCGAUACCCAGAUCUUU